UAUCAAGACAAAACACUUCAUAAAUUGGUCCUAGUUGGUCUUUGUCUUAUCCAAGACAUCACAACUUUCCAGUUUCAAAUGUGCAAGAAUAAGAAAACCUUUUUCCAAAUUCUACAUUUGAUGAAUGUUAUAAACCUUCUUAAGACUUGUCACUCAAUGUCACAAUCUUAACUUUAAGACUUGUUUUGGAACGAAGUAUGAUUGACUUCUUGAUUUAACCAUUUCUUCAAUUCUUGAUUUCUCUUCUCAGACAUACAAUUGUACUAAGACUCACUUAGAGGAUCAAUUGAGAUAUGGUUCUUAAUCAUUAAGACCUAUCAUAAAACAUAAUAAAAGGUACUCUCCCUUCUUCUUAGAAUAGAGAAACUUUUAUCUUUCUGCCUACUUGAUUCUUCUUAUUCGUUCNCUCUUUCAAUCAACUAAGAAUUACACUUAAUCUCAUAAGUGUAAUCAUAUUUACUUAACCUUAGUAAAUCAUGACGAAUAUCUUUGUUACUCUUGUGGUGGACUUGAUCAAUACACAACCUUGUGUACUCUAUCUCCUAGUCCUUCACUUGACAUUUUGUCAACGAAUUAGUCUAAUUUUCCCAAAUGUGAAAGUUUUUCAUUAAUCAUACAAUACUUGUUGCAUGAUUCCAAGUUUCUGUCCACUUGAAACUUGGGCGAUGAGAAACUUUCCCUAUUAGGUAAAANUUCUUAGAAUAGAGAAACUUUUAUCCUUCUGCCUUCUUGAUUCUUCUCAUUCGUUCUGCUUAUUGAUUUAAGCUCUUUCAAUCAACUAAGAAUUACACUUAAUCUCAUAAGUGUAAUCAUAUUUACUUAACCUUAGUAAAUCAUGACGAAUAUCUUUGUUACUCUUGUGGUGGACUUGAUCAAUACACAACCUUGUGUACUCUAUCUCCUAGUCCUUCACUUGACAUUUUGUCAACGAAUUAGUCUAAUUUUCCCAAAUGUGAAAGUUUUUCAUUAAUCAUACAAUACUUGUUGCAUGAUUC
rnacentral:lncRNA from 1 species